GAUGAACGCUGGCGGCGUGCCUAAUACAUGCAAGUCGAGCGAACAGACGAGGAGCUUGCUCCUCUGACGUUAGCGGCGGACGGGUGAGUAACACGUGGAUAACCUACCUAUAAGACUGGGAUAACUUCGGGAAACCGGAGCUAAUACCGGAUAAUAUAUUGAACCGCAUGGUUCAAUAGUGAAAGACGGUUUUGCUGUCACUUAUAGAUGGAUCCGCGCCGCAUUAGCUAGUUGGUAAGGUAACGGCUUACCAAGGCAACGAUGCGUAGCCGACCUGAGAGGGUGAUCGGCCACACUGGAACUGAGACACGGUCCAGACUCCUACGGGAGGCAGCAGUAGGGAAUCUUCCGCAAUGGGCGCAAGCCUGACGGAGCAACGCCGCGUGAGUGAUGAAGGUCUUCGGAUCGUAAAACUCUGUUAUUAGGGAAGAACAAAUGUGUAAGUAACUAUGCACGUCUUGACGGUACCUAAUCAGAAAGCCCCGGCUAACUACGUG
rnacentral:rRNA from 1 species